AACGAACGCUGGCGGCAGGCCUAACACAUGCAAGUCGAGCGGUAACAGGGAAAGCUUGCUUUCUGCUGACGAGCGGCGGACGGGUGCGUAACACGUAGGAAUCUGCCUGGUAGUGGGGGAUAGCCCGGAGAAAUCCGGAUUAAUACCGCAUACGCCCUACGGGGGAAAGGAGGGGAUCUUCGGACCUUUCGCUAUCAGAUGAGCCUGCGUCGGAUUAGCUAGUUGGUAAGGUAACGGCUUACCAAGGCGACGAUGUCUAGGGGUUCUGAGAGGAUGAUCCCCCACACUGGUACUGAGACACGGACCAGACUCCUACGGGAGGCAGCAGUGAGGAAUAUUGGUCAAUGGACGCAAGUCUGAACCAGCCAUCCCGCGUGAAGGAUGACUGCCCUAUGGGUUGUAAACUUCUUUUAUACGCAAAUAAACCUACUUUCGUGAAAGUAGCUGA
rnacentral:rRNA from 1 species